rnacentral:rRNA from 1 species
AACCUUUACUAUAGCUUGACACUGAACAUUGAGCCUUGAUGUGUAGGAUAGGUGGGAGGCUUUGAAGCGUGGACGCCAGUCUGCGUGGAGCCAACCUUGAAAUACCACCCUUUAAUGUUUGAUGUUCUAACGUUGGCCCCUUACCGGGGUUGCGGACAGUGUCUGGUGGGUAGUUUGACUGGGGCGGUCUCCUCCCAAAGCGUAACGGAGGAGCACGAAGGUUAGCUAAUCCUGGUCGGACAUCAGGAGGUUAGUGCAAUGGCAUAAGCUAGCUUGACUGCGAGCGUGACGGCGCGAGCAGGUGCGAAAGCAGGUCAUAGUGAUCCGGUGGUUCUGAAUGGAAGGGCCAUCGCUCAACGGAUAAAAGGUACUCCGGGGAUAACAGGCUGAUACCGCCCAAGAGUUCAUAUCGACGGCGGUGUUUGGCACCUCGAUGUCGGCUCAUCACAUCCUGGGGCUGAAGUAGGUCCCAAGGGUAUGGCUGUUCGCCAUUUAAAGUGGUACGCGAGCUGGGUUUAGAACGUCGUGAGACAGUUCGGUCCCUAUCUGCCGUGGGCGCUGGAGAAUUGAGGGGGGCUGCUCCUAGUACGAGAGGACCGGAGUGGACGCAUCACUGGUGUUCGGGUUGUCAUGCCAAUGGCACUGCCCGGUAGCUAAAUGCGGAAGAGAUAAGUGCUGAAAGCAUCUAAGCACGAAACUUGCCCCGAGAUGAGUUCUCCCUGAGACUU